CCUACGGGUGGCAGCAGUGAGGAAUAUUGGUCAAUGGACGAGAGUCUGAACCAGCCAAGUAGCGUGAAGGAUGACUGCCCUAUGGGUUGUAAACUUCUUUUAUAUGGGAAUAAAAUGUUCCACGUGUGGGAUUUUGUAUGUACCAUAUGAAUAAGGAUCGGCUAACUCCUUGCCAGCAGCCGCGGUAAUACGGAGGAUCCGAGCGUUAUCCGGAUUUAUUGGGUUUAAAGGGAGCGUAGGUGGAUUGUUAAGUCAGUUGUGAAAGUUUGCGGCUCAACCGUAAAAUUGCAGUUGAAACUGGCAGUCUUGAGUACAGUAGAGGUGGGCGGAAUUCGUGGUGUAGCGGUGAAAUGCUUCGAUAUCACGAAGAACUCCGAGUGCGAAGGCAGUUCACUGGACUGCAACUGACACUGAGGCUCGAAAGUGUGGGUAUCAAACAGGAUUAGAUACCCUUGUAGUC
rnacentral:rRNA from 1 species